rnacentral:rRNA from 1 species
AUUGAACGCUGGCGGCAUGCCUUACACAUGCAAGUCGAACGGCAGCGCGGACUUCGGUCUGGCGGCGAGUGGCGAACGGGUGAGUAAUACAUCGGAACGUACCCUGUUGUGGGGGAUAACUAGUCGAAAGAUUAGCUAAUACCGCAUACGACCUGAGGGUGAUAGUGGGGGACCGGAAACGGCCUCAUGCAGCAGGAGCGGCCGAUGUCUGAUUAGCUAGUUGGUGGGGUAAAGGCCCACCAAGGCGACGAUCAGUAGCUGGUCUGAGAGGACGAUCAGCCACACUGGGACUGAGACACGGCCCAGACUCCUACGGGAGGCAGCAGUGGGGAAUUUUGGACAAUGGGGGCAACCCUGAUCCAGCAAUGCCGCGUGUGUGAAGAAGGCCUUCGGGUUGUAAAGCACUUUUGUCCGGAAAGAAAUCGCGCUGGUUAAUACCUGGCGUGGAUGACGGUACCGGAAGAAUAAGCACCGGCUAACUACGUG